rnacentral:lncRNA from 1 species
ACCUAUCCUUGGUCGUGCACCGACAAUGUUCAUACUGACAAUGUUGGGACGAUGCGGCUGCAUGGAGAGCAAGUUCAACCUCCGCAGCAAUGGUGGCCUGGUGCAAGUGCAGGCGUCGUUCCGUCAUGGGGCUCCAAUUGCCAGCUGCCGUCGUCCGUCCAGAUGCCACCCGAAAACCGUGAGCACCACGACCGUCCUGCUCCAGGUCCAGGUCACGGAGAGCAAGCUGAACAGCCGUUGCUAAUUGACGGCCUACGACUAGGAGAGUACGGGAAUCCUCAAGUUCAUGUUGCCUCACAACACGGCGAGCAAGCUCAUGAACCGUUGCAUCAAUGGCAGACUGCCAGCCAACCACAGGCACCUUACCGGAAUCGCCACGGUCUUGCUGCUUCGGAAUAACGUCCCCGCUGGCGUACAACCUUCUGCAAGAUUUAGAGUAGAGUAGAAUCUCUCGUGACAGGUUGGGAACUGUCAAUGCCUUGAGAAUACUUGAAUUUGCGUUUAUGUGUAUUUACACUAACUUAGAG